rnacentral:lncRNA from 1 species
AAAUGUACAACUGCCUUCAUCCUCAUCAACCACAAAUUUGUUUCUUAUGGAAAUGAAUCAGCAUGCUUUCAGGAAUUGUCACUCUCCUCUCCCUGGCAUUGGAGUCAAGGUCAAGGAGAGAUAUCCUGGUCAGAGCUGCAAACGCUGAAGUGAGAUUUGGACUGUUGGAUCUAAUGC